rnacentral:rRNA from 1 species
AUGUCGAGCUCCGCUUCAGCCUCCCGCCGCUCAUGGCCGCGCUAUGGCGCAGUGCCCAUGACAAGGUGCCCUGCAUGCCCACGUAUCGCACCCCUGAAGCGGCUAGUCACAACCACCGACAAGAAUGGCAACCUUGGGCGGGAAUUCGUGAAAUGCGAGAGCAAACCAGAGCAGGGAAAGAAAUUGAAGCAAUGCACCCAUUUUGAGUGGCUAGAUGAGUACAUAGAGCGGAUUCAACUGGAGGGUGCAUCAGGGGAGCUCGAUUUACCGUUGGAGGCGGAGAAGUUGGGCAAGUUUGGAUCGGGCGCGUCUGGAUCUGGGGCCCCUGGAUCCGCCCAUUCCAUUGGUGCUACUGUGGGGAUGCAGGAGUGA